CUUAUUGAUUUCAUUUUAUAAUCAAAUUUACCUAUCACAUAUGAGAGAAUCUGCUUCUAUGUUAUUGUACAUUGUCACUCAAUGGUCUCUCUAGGUCACUUCCAGGCAGGCAGGCAGGCAGUCCUCAGCUCCCAGAUCGAAAGGCCUAGUUAAUGAUUAACAAUACCAGUCAGAUUUAUUGUGUACAGUGAUGCUGUCAGGAAGCAUUUCCUUCUCUAGCCUGUCCGGGAAACACACACUCUACAGACACACUCUCAGGCUCUCUGCCUGUCUACAGCUACCAUACCGACACUUCUAGCUCUAGAUCAGACAGCUGCCAGAUGAAUCAGACCAUGCAACCCUCCCACAGCUCUCAUCCCAGGACACCUCUCAGUUCUGUCCAUCUGCGGGCCACAGAGACUGGCUCUGCCCUGUGUGUCUGCAAACUGCCAGCUUCCCUGUACAGACCAACUGGGGCCAUCUAUACUGUGCUCCCUGUCUGAUCUGUACUGGAGACUUGGGUCCUGGCUGGAUGCCAUCAGCUGCCCUCUGUGUAGACAAAGGGGAAGAAAGACACACCCAACUAAAGGAGAGGGAGGUUCUGGGAGAAUUUACAGACUACAACAAACGUUUUUAUUUUUUAUUUUUUAUUUUUAUUUCACCUUUAUUUAACCAGGUAGGCUAGUUGAGAACAAGUUCUCAUUUGCAACUGCGACCUGGCCAAGAUAAAGCAUAGCAGUGUGAGCAUACAACAAAGAGUUACACAUGGAGUAAACAAUUAACAAGUCAAUAACACAGUAGAAAACGAAGGGGGGGUCUAUAUACAAUGUGUGCAAAAGGCAUGAGGAGGUAGGCAAAUAAUUACAAUUUUGCAGAUUAACACUGGAGUGAUAAAAGAUCAGAUGGUCAUGUACAGGUAGAGAUAUUGGUGUGCAGAAGAGCAGAAAAGUAAAUAAAUAGAAACAGUACGGGGAUGAGGUAGGUGAAAAGGGUGGGCUAUUUACCAAUAGACUAUGUACAGCUGCAGCGAUCGGUUAGCUGCUCAGAUAGCUGAUGUUUGAAGUUGGUGAGGGAGAUAAAAGUCUCCAACUUCAGCGAUUUUUGCAAUUCGUUCCAGUCACAGGCAGCAGAGUACUGGAACGAAAGGCGGCCAAAUGAGGUGUUGGCUUUAGGGAUGAUCAGUGAGAUACACCUGCUGGAGCGCGUGCUACGGAUGGGUGUUGCCAUCGUGACCAGUGAGCUGAGAUAAGGCGGAGCUUUACCUAGCAUAGACUUGUAGAUGACCUGGAGCCAGUGGGUCUGGCGACGAAUAUGUAGCGAGGGCCAGCCGACUAGAGCAUACAAGUCGCAGUGGUGGGUGGUAUAAGGUGCUUUAGUGACAAAACGGAUGGCACUGUGAUAGACUGCAUCCAGUUUGCUGAGUAGAGUGUUGGAAGCCAUUUUGUAGAUGACAUCGCCGAAGUCGAGGAUCGGUAGGAUAGUCAGUUUUACUAGGGUAAGCUUGGCGGCUUGAGUGAAGGAGGCUUUGUUGCGGAAUAGAAAGCCGACUCUUGAUUUGAUUUUCGAUUGGAGAUGUUUGAUAUGAGUCUGGAAGGAGAGUUUGCAGUCUAGCCAGACACCUAGGUACUUAUAGACGUCCACAUAUUCUAGGUCGGAACCAUCCAGGGUGGUGAUGCUAGUCGGGCAUGCAGGUGCAGGCAAAUCCAAAUCCAAGAUGGCGUAGCAGUAAGUCGUCCUGUCGUGUCGUGUCCCUGUAUAUUUUGUUUAUAUUUUGUUUAUUUUUCGUUUUUUACAUAUUUUUCGUCUUUUACAUAGCUAUCCCUUUUUAAAAACAUUUUGCUAAACCUAAGCUUCCAAAUACGCUGGAUCUUCACAACUAGCUAUCUAGCUAAACCGCAACCCUGGACGACUACCCCUGGCUAGCGUUUCCACCCACUUAGCUUGAAGCUAGCCCGGCCUGCGCUACCACCGUAGCAUACUCCUGAGCUACAAUACCCGGGCCCACGACCGGUCUAUCGAUGUCACCGCAUGAAGAGGAAUAAACAGACUCACCCCAUCGCGACGUCCCCCAAAGGCUAACUCUCUAGCCCUCGCUAUCUCCCUGCUUGCUAAUUCGGCCUGCUAACUGCUAGCUUGUCCAGCUCCGGUCCGCUAACUGCUACCUUGUCUAGCCCGGGCCUACAAACUGUUAGCACAGGCCUGCUAACCGCCUGAAUCGCCGCGUCCCAAACGCCCACCGGACCCAUAUUUACUUUCUAUCUCUUUUGACUUUUAAUUUGUUUAUACCUUCCGGAAACCUGCCUCACCCAAUGUGAUACGGAAUCGCUAUUAUUUUUUAUUUAUUUUUAGAACACACUCAAGAACCUCCAGAAGCUAACCAGCUAACUAGCUACAAGCUAUUUAGUCAUUGUUCGUUUUUUUAACCUGGAUAACACUCGCCAGUCCAGCUUCCCUUCCCCAUCCACCGCUGCCCCCUGGACACUGAUCUCUUGGCUACAUAGCUGAUGCACGCUGGACUGUCCAUAAAUCACGGUACUCCAUUCUGCUUGUUUGUUUUAUCUGUUGGCCCCGUUGCCUAGUCUACGCCAUUUUACCUGCUGUUGUUGUGCUAGCUGAUUAGCUGUUGUCUCACCUACUGUUUUAGCUAGCUUUCCCAAU
rnacentral:lncRNA from 1 species